AUUGAACGCUGGCGGCAGGCCUAACACAUGCAAGUCGAGCGAGCGGCGGACGGGUGAGUAAUGUAUGGGGAUCUGCCUGAUAGAGGGGGAUAACUACUGGAAACGGUGGCUAAUACCGCAUACUAUCGGAUGAACCCAUAUGGGAUUAGCUAGUAGGUGGGGUAAAGGCUCACCUAGGCGACGAUCCCUAGCUGGUCUGAGAGGAUGACUGUCAAACCUGGAACUGAGACACGGCCAAGAAGCCCACGGGAGGCGGCAUCGGGGAUCAUUGCACAAUGGCGUCUAGCCUUAUGCAGCAAUGCCGCGUGUAUGAAGAAGGCCUUCGGGUUGUACAUCACUUGCAGCGGUGAGGCGUUACCCGCAGAAGAAGCACCGGCUAACUCCGUGCCAGCAGCCGCGGUAAUUC
rnacentral:rRNA from 1 species